rnacentral:tRNA from 1 species
GAAGUUAGUCUAACCAAGACA